rnacentral:piRNA from 1 species
UAGUAAUGGUCUCUUCCUGAAUGAUGGGCUU